GCAGGAAAUACAAUUUGCUUUAGCAUAAUAUAAUGAUAUAAUCUUAUGCUCGAUAAUAUUUUUGAAUGAAGUUCUAAAAUCAAAUUUUGAUUAGAAUGCUAUCAUGGCUACAUGAAUUGAACCUGCAGCCCUACAAGGUUGCCAAGAGGUAACCACAAGCUGCUGUAUAUAUACCAUGGUGGUGUCAUUGGUAGUGUAUUAAAUUAACUGCCCAGGAUUACACUAGUAUUUUAUACAUGAAAUCUUGGUUACAGUAGUUUCAUUGACUCACGGGGUGAUGGACUCUCUGGGCAUGAUGGACUCUCGGCGGUUAAGAAGCUGAUCAAAAUCACAGGGCAGCAGGUUCCAUUCCCAGCACAGUACCGGCUAUUACAUAGUUAUUGUUCAAAAUUUACAUUUACAGAAAAGCUUUAACCCAUUGAGUGGCAUCAUUCUCUCCUUAAUGAGUCAAAUUGUCUGACCACAUUAGACAGAAAAAAUAAUAAAGUAAAGCACCUUGACACUUAAAGGGUUAAUAUUCUGUUCAAUGUAGAAUAUUUACAAGUAAAAUAUAGUGC